rnacentral:lncRNA from 1 species
CUUGGCGGUGAACUUGAGCCAGCAGCGGUUAACCCGGCCCGGGGUUCUGGGCCUCAGCCGGCGCCAGCAGCUCCCUCAGGUGGGGCGCAAGCCUCAGCGCGCCGCCCUUCUCCGCUCUGCUCCUCCAACCCGCCCUUAGAUAGGGCGGCGGCCCCGAGGACCCCUUUCCCAAGGGCGUCGGCCGGGAGCCUGGAGUCUGAAGGAGUGGCGGGAGAUGGGGACGCGAGUCCCGGGACGCCGACAGUCUCUAAGGCGUUGCUGCGUGGCUUUGGUACACAGAGCCUCGACCGCUUCUCCCAGCGCGGCAAGCACAGCUUGCCUUCAUCGCGCCCCAUCGGGGAAGCGGAUGGAGAAGCAAAGACAGACAGACAGACAGACAGACAGGCACGCGGCGGCGGGGCUAGCCUGAAACUCGAGCGUCUCCAAGCCCCCCACCCCCACCCCACCCUACCCUAGGGCACGGCGCUGCAGAUGCCAGAUCCCCGACCGGAGGCGGUAGAGAUGGGCAGGGCAAAGAACGCGCGCGCCGCUCGAGGCUCGUCCGCGCUUUUCCCGCGCGUGGCCUUCCUCUUGCGCCCCUGCACCUUCAAUUUACCUUAUGCAGGGCGCCCCGCGAGCUGCGGGCGGAGGCGCAGAGCCGAAGCCCGGAGGACAGGAGUUUGAGAGCCGCCAUCUUCGGCCCCGGGUGCGGGAGGAGGUGGCGAGGUGGCGCGCGCGGGAGUGCGUGCGAGUGCUGGUUGCCGGGGGCCGCGGCGGCGUCACCGGCUAAGGAGAGAAGAAGGCAAGGCGAGCGGUGGGGCGGGCUGGAGGCUCGACCGCGCGUCAGUGACGUCCUCGGGACCUCAGAGCGGUGCCGCCCCUUGCUGCCUGCUGGCUUGUCAAGAAGCGAGACAGGGAGGGGCCCACGGCUAGGAAUGGAAAGGCUGCACAGCCAGGACGAGCCCCGCGGGUUGUGGCUCGGGCUCCUCUGCGGGCACACCCGCAGCGGCGGGCGCCGCACUCAGGCUGGAGGGGGCGCUAGUGCCUGCCUUCCCCUUGCGCAAGGCUUGGCAUCCACCAGGGUUUCGGGUUCCCAAGGGCCUGGAGGGUCUCUUACUGAACGUGUUACUUUUCCAAGUCGCCCUCUGGAAUGAGUACAGGUACAAAGGGUCACUGAUAAAGAUCUCCUCCCAGAUCUAGACAGCUCACCUUUCCAACAUUUCUCAACCACCGCCCCCGCCCCCCAACUCUCUUCAAGUCUGGUUUUGCCCUUAGUUUCCUCUGAAACCCAGCAGUGUGCUGACUGACCCUCAUGAGACAUGACCUGCUUAACCUACAGAGGGACAAGAUUAGAACUGGGUCCUUGUUCCCCAUCAUCCUAGCUUGUGUUCCAGAAUUUUCCUGGCACCGGAGUCCCAACAAUUCCAGAGAUCACAGAGCAGCAACAGCACAGCAACUAAUACAGAAGUUGGUACCAGAGUGGACUGAAGCUGUGUAGCACUUGACAGUGGUGCUUUGAGGAGGAAGGUGGAAGACUGUGGAGAUCUGGACAAGAACAGCAGCUGGAUACUUUCGGCAGAACUUAGAAGGUAAUCCUAAGGGAAACCUGAAGGAUAACCAUACUGAGAGCAAUGAGGACUGUGGAGACCCAGAGCAAAAGGUUUCAGAGAGGAACCCAAUCAGCCAUUGGGCUCCAAGCCCUUGUGAUAUUUGGGCAAAGAAACUAAUGGCCCUAGGCUUUGAUCCUAAGAACUUGCCUAAGGGGAAAUUUUUAAAGUAAUAAUAAUUUCUUUGGUGAAUAAAAUGUCAAGACCAC